rnacentral:lncRNA from 1 species
AUUUGACUAUCCUGCCUGGGUAAAGCCUCAAAAUGGAAUUGUGACACAUGCCUGGUGCAAGCAUCUAAGGUGUGAUUGUGGCAUAUGUCUUUGCCCAUACCCUGAGUGAUUUUAGUUUCCUGCCUGAGCCCAGCCCAUAGAUGGAAUUGUGACAUAUACCAAGGCCAAGCACCAAGCUACAGGUGGGAUUGUGACAUAUGCCUGGGACGUGGUCACUGGUACAAUGAUGACACCCACAAACUUCAACCCACAAACCAGGAGAAAUAUUGAUUCUGUCUGCU